rnacentral:tRNA from 2 species
GCUCUCGUGGUGAAAUUGGUAUACACGUUAGAUUGAGGUUCUAAUGCAGAAAUGCGUACGAGUUCAAGUCUCGUCGAGAGCA